rnacentral:lncRNA from 1 species
GGCUUUAUGUGCUUCGCUUUGUGCUUCAACCUGCACUCUCAGCCGAGAUACCUCGCCCCGGUGCUGCUCCAUAGAACUGUCUGCAGGCGAAGAAAUGUAUUACCCUUACCUGCAGUGCAGAAAGGGAGCAACUUCAUGUUGCUUGCCUAGAUUUGAGGAACAAACUUCUAGAGACAACCAACUUGUGUGUAUUAAGGGCUAAGUACACUACACUGCAUUCAGUAUUCACCUUAUUAUCAUGCUAGAGCAUGGUAUGCAUUCUUCUCACCAGAUGAUGCCUUGCACCCACUGGCGCAAUCCAUUGAUGCGGAUUCAAAAACCUCGAAGCAUAAUUUAACCCAAAAGUCCGGCUGACAAAAAUAAAACAACUGGUUAGUUGAAGAACAGUUUGAACCAAAAGUCUGGCUGAGAAAAAGAAGAAAAAAAUCCUAGAAGAAGUGAAGAACAUUUUUCAACCAAUAUUCCUACUGAUAAAAAGAGAAUAUUUUGGUUACCCCUCGAAAUAGGAUAGCAGGCCUGGUCCUAUUUUUUAUCUUCAAACAUUGGUAACGCAAUUUCAAAAUUAUGACUGGCAAUUGGCUUAAUCUCAAUCAGUAAAGCGUCGUGAAAUAAACUAUUUUCACAAAUUACAUGCUUACCAUGAGCAAUAGUACAAUAGAAGAACAGUAUUUUCAUGG